UACGUAGGGUGCGAGCGUUAAUCGGAAUACUGGGCGUAAAGCGUGCGCAGGCGGUUUGUUAAGACAGAUGUGAAAUCCCCGGGCUUAACCUGGGAACUGCAUUUGUGACUGGCAAGCUAGAGUAUGGCAGAGGGGGGGUAGAAUUCCACGUGUAGCAGUGAAAUGCGUAGAGAUGUGGAGGAAUACCGAUGGCGAAGGCAGCCCCCCUGGGCCCAAUACUGACGCUCAUGCA
rnacentral:rRNA from 1 species